UCCCAUGCCCCGGUGGCUUAUCCAUUAAUGUAUUUUUAUUCAACAAGCAUUCAGUAAACAUUUACCAGAUUCUAGGCUUUUUGUAAAUUGCUGAGGCCCAAAUCUCCUCAGCCAGCUUUCCUCCAACCUCAGCCCUGGCAUAUUAGGGUAUUUGCUCAUUUUGUGGGAUUUUCACUCCUGGAUCAGCUCAAAAUCUGAAGAGAAGAGGUACGGGGAGUGAAUAGUCCUGAGCAGCAUUUGGUCAAAGUCUCUCCAGGACCUGAACCAUUUGAGUGGCUUGAAAAGGACGUCGGAAAGCUGCAUGAGGACCUGAGGGGUGUUGGGAAAUAGAGGUUUGUUGUGAA
rnacentral:lncRNA from 1 species